rnacentral:rRNA from 1 species
ACAGCAGUAGCCGCGGGAAUACGAAGGGUGCAAGCGUUACUCGGAAUUACUGGGCGUAAAGCGUGCGUAGGUGGUGGUUUAAGUCCGUUGUGAAAGCCCUGGGCUCAACCUGGGAAUUGCAGUGGAUACUGGGUCACUAGAGUGUGGUAGAGGAUAGUGGAAUUUCCGGUGUAGCAGUGAAAUGCGUAGAGAUCGGAAGGAACAUCUGUGGCGAAGGCGACUAUCUGGGCCAACACUGACACUGAGGCACGAAAGCGUGGGGAGCAAACAGGAUUAGAUACCCCUGUAGUCCCUGUCUCUUAUAA